rnacentral:piRNA from 14 species
GCCCGGAUAGCUCAGUCGGUAGAGCAU